CGAAAGCCUGACGGAGCAAGACCGCGUGAGGGAGGAAGGCUCUUGGGUUGUAAACCUCUUUUCUCAGGGAAGAAGCUCUGACGGUACCUGAGGAAUCAGCCUCGGCUAACUCCGUGCCAGCAGCCGCGGUAAUACGGAGGAGGCAAGCGUUAUCCGGAAUUAUUGGGCGUAAAGCGUCCGCAGGUGGCAAUUCAAGUCUGCUGUCAAAGACCGAAGCUUAACUUCGGGUAGGCGGUGGAAACUGAAGAGCUAGAGUAAAGCAGGGGUAGAGGGAAUUCCCAGUGUAGCGGUGAAAUGCGUAGAGAUUGGGAAGAACACCAGUGGCGAAAGCGCUCUACUGGACGGCAACUGACACUCAGGGACGAAAGCUAGGGGAGCG
rnacentral:rRNA from 1 species